AAUAGAUACCCAGGUAGUCCAUGCCGUAAACGUUGGGCACUGGGUGUGGGGCUCAUUCCACGAGUUCCGUGCCGCAGCAAACGCAUUAAGUGCCCCGCCUGGGGAGUACGGCCGCAAGGCUAAAACUCAAAGGAAUUGACGGGGGCCCGCACAAGCGGCGGAGCAUGCGGAUUAAUUCGAUGCAACGCGAAGAACCUUACCAAGGCUUGACAUGCACGGGAAGCCACCAGAGAUGGUGGUCUCUUUGGACACUCGUGCACAGGUGGUGCAUGGUUGUCGUCAGCUCGUGUCGUGAGAUGUUGGGUUAAGUCCCGCAACGAGCGCAACCCUCGUCCCAUGUUGCCAGCGGGUUAUGCCGGGGACUCAUGGGAGACUGCCGGGGUCAACUCGGAGGAAGGUGGGAUGACGUCAAAUCAUCAUGCCCCUUAUGUCUUGGGCUUCACGCAUGCUACAAUGGCCGGUACAAAGGGCUGCGAUGCCGUAAGGUGAGCGAAUCCAAAAGCCGGUCUCAGUUCGGAUUGGGUC
rnacentral:rRNA from 1 species